UACGUAGGGGGCAAGCGUUGUCCGGAAUUAUUGGGCGUAAAGAGCGCGUAGGCGGUCCGAUAAGUCGGCUGUGAAAGUCAGGGGCUCAACCCUUGAAAGCCGGCCGAUACUGUCGGACUAGAGUCCGGAAGAGGCAAGUGGAAUCCCGGUGUAGCGGUGAAAUGCGCAGAUAUCGGGAGGAACACCAAUGGCGAAGGCAGCUUGCUGGGACGGUACUGACGCUGAGGCGCGAAAGCAUGGGGAGCGAACGAGGA
rnacentral:rRNA from 1 species